ACAUGGUUACAUAUUGAUUACACGGCGUAUUAUCUCCUGUUCAAGGAAGCGCGUCGGGCAUGAACCCAAACCAGCCACAGGAGCAGAGCGUCAGUCAGGUGGUCACAACAAGAGAUGUGUGUAGGGCACGCACAUACUGUUACAUCGCAGUUAGUAAACAAACUUAAUGCAUCCACGCCAAUAGCUGUCAGUAUAAAGUCCAAGACCAUUGAUGCCUUUGGGACCAACCGAAAAACCAGCUAAACAUGGCCGCCCAAAACUGUCAUUGGUCAGCUUUACCAGCAGUAAAAGCGCGAGUGCGUGGAUUUCGACGAGGUCGCAGCAUACAUUACUAAGUGAAGCGAGCGAGUUUGUCAUGCUGUUUACUGGAAACCGAAGGUCUGAAUGGGAGCCAGCAAACGCAACAGCUGAGAGGAGGCCCCAGAAGCCUCUCACAAAAGCAGAGGGAAGCUUGACGUGAUUGCAUCCCUAAAAUUAAACCCAGCACAAACAGAAUACCUGGCAACAGCUCUGGGCACAACCCUGCAUUCACAUGCUCUUUGGUAUG